CGUAAACCUGAGGGUCCCAAAAGAGAUGAUUCGACAGUGUCCCAAGGUAGAGCAAAGAAACAUCAAUCUCAUUGAUGAGUUGUCUGCCUGGUUUCGACGAAAUCAUGGAUCAUGGAGAAUUUUCGUCUAAUUCCGUAAUUAAUUUUUAUCCAUUUCAUCUACUUGGAAAAAAGAUCAUCGAGUAGAAUUAUACCUAAGAUAUGCCGAC
rnacentral:misc_RNA from 1 species